GGCAACCUGGCCGAGCGGUUAAGGCGCUACGUUCAGGUGUUCUCUCUGCAGAUAUAUCUUCUCGUAGUCUCGAAAGGGGCGUGUGUUCGAAUCACACGGUUGUCA